AUUCCAUAAGUAUUCACUUAAGUUUGGUAGUAGGCUUGUUGUAACUGAGUCGGUUUUAAUGUGUAUCUUCCGAUGUUAUGAUUGGUUACCUCGGUAUUUAUUACUUUCGAUAUCUUCAUACCGUCGUAUAUUAUGUUUUGCAAAGUUGGAUCCGUAGCCAGUUCUCGUGGAGUUCCUACAUGCACACUUCCUUCUACGAUGAUUGGUUG